rnacentral:lncRNA from 1 species
AGAAUGUGCAGGCAAAAAAAAAAAGAGUAAAGAUAUUUAAAUGUGACAACUGUAUUUACAUAACCUACAUGGUAGACACUGAAGAGUAGGAUUGAUUUCUUUUUUCUUUUUCAGUCUCAUCUUUGUUUUGUUUAGGUAGCAGAGGGUAGAUAAAAUAAAGAUGUAUAGUUAUGAAUGAGCUAUUGUCUUCAUCAUAAAUAGAUAGAAAAGUAUAAAUAGAUAAAUCAGUUUCAAAACUAAUGCUAUUGUUUUUUGUUAGUGUACUUCCCAUGCAUAAAAUCUCAGCACUCAAGAUGUCCCCAUAAAAUCUUUCACUAAACCUUUGUUUUAAAGUAUUUGAAAGGACAUCAUUCCAUGUGGGAAUAUUACAUACAGCCACUGAUUCAACAGUAACUGAGAACUUAUGUACAAAACAUUCUUUACAUAUUGACAAAUAUUUCUAAAAAAUGAAUUGGUAUUUUUUGUUGUUGAGUGUUUCAUGAGUGACCUUUACCUCUGUAGACAUAUGCAGUUUUCAGUUUUUUGGGUGAGACUUUCAAAAUAUUUUUUUAGAGUGUUCAAUGUUAGCAGUGACAUUUUUACAGUGAUUUCAGAGCCUUGUAGUUUAGAAUAUUCUAUUUUCUUUAUUUCUAAUUACUUAUACCACCCUCAUUUUAAAUCCUGUGCAGAUGUAAUUGACAGUGAUGAUAUACAAUAUGUAUGAAAUGAGCUUUUCCCUAUUGGUGGUGUGUGUCAUGCAAGACUCCAUUGCAAUAUUUACAGUUAAACUAAACUUUUUAGAACGAGCA